UACGGAGGGUGCAAGCGUUAUCCGGAUUCACUGGGUUUAAAGGGUGCGUAGGUGGGCAGGUAAGUCAGUGGUGAAAUCUCCGGGCUUAACCCGGAAACUGCCAUUGAUACUAUCAAUCUUGAAUACCGUGGAGGUCAGCGGAAUAUGUCAUGUAGCGGUGAAAUGCUUAGAUAUGACAUAGAACACCAAUUGCGAAGGCAGCUGGCUACACGAAUAUUGACACUGAUGCACGAAAGCGUGGGGAUCAAACAGG
rnacentral:rRNA from 1 species